rnacentral:rRNA from 1 species
GACGAACGCUGGCGGCGUGCUUAACACAUGCAAGUCGAACGGUAAGGCCCUUCGGGGUACACGAGUGGCGAACGGGUGAGUAACACGUGGGUGAUCUGCCCUGCACUUCGGGAUAAGCCUGGGAAACUGGGUCUAAUACCGGAUAGGACCACUGCCUGCAUGGGUGGUGGUGGAAAGCUUUUGCGGUGUGGAUGGGCCCGCGGCCUAUCAGCUUGUUGGUGGGGUGAUGGCCUACCAAGGCGACGACGGGUAGCCGGCCUGAGAGGGUAACCGGCCACACUGGGACUGAGAUACGGCCCAGACUCCUACGGGAGGCAGCAGUGGGGAAUAUUGCACAAUGGGCGCAAGCCUGAUGCAGCGACGCCGCGUGAGGGAUGACGGCCUUCGGGUUGUAAACCUCUUUCAGCACCGACGAAGCGCAAGUGACGGUAGGUGCAGAAGAAGGACCGGCCAACUACGUGCCAGCCGCCACCGUAA